CAUGGUCUCUGAGCUCUAGAUGCACCUGAGUCUCUCUCAAAAAUGACCCAGCAAUUCAGCAUCAAAACCUGAAAAGUGCUGUGAGUUAGAAGAGGAUGUUUUACUCAUUUCAAUUAUAGUAGGAGACGGAGGAGAUGGAAGGAAACAGUGAACCCUUUAUAGAGACCAGGAAGGCUCAGGGGCCCAGGGAUUUAAUUCCAGCGACUCCGGAGGCCGAGGCAGGAGGAUGGCAAGCUCAAGGCGACUGGGGAACUGAGGAAACUCAUGACUCAACAUGAAAAGGGAAGAAGAAAACAAAACAAAACUGGGGCCGUAGCUCAUGGGAGAGGCCUGCAGAGCACCCCCAGGGCCUGGGUCCCUUCCUCAGUGCCGCAGAGAAAUAAGAAGAAACAAUCCAAGAUAUCAGAUAAAUGGAGGUCAGGAAGGCAGAGUCAGCAGAGCUGCCACCAGGGAGGCUCAGGGGCAAGCUCCCCGAGGGCGGAGAAGGCGAAGGUCAGGAAACAGUGGCCACCCGGGACACCAGGACCUGGAUGGCAGGUCAAGGGCACCCCCUCUGCUGACCUGGAGUUCCUGACAGGGACACAGCAGCAGGAGCACAGAACACGCUUGUGACUUACUUGUGAUCAACAGGAGACCCUCAUCACCCUGGGACUGUGGCAUGGAAUCCAUUGCACCCCACAGGCCCCAACAAAGGCAGUGAGAUGCAGCAAUGUCUUGAGGUUUGUGCGUGGCCAC